GAUCAAAUCAAGCGCGAGAAGGGCGUUUGGUGGAUGCCUUGGCAGUAAGAGGCGAUGAAAGACGUGGUACUCUGCGAUAAGCCAUGGGGAGCUGAGAACAAGCUUUGAUCCAUGGAUCUCUGAAUGGGGCAACCCACCUGACAUUCCAUCAUUGUUAGCCUUCGGGUUAUCAAUGGUGGGGUGAAACAGGUACUUUUACCCUGAAUACAUAGGGGUUUAAGGGCAAACCCGGGGAACUGAAACAUCUAAGUACCCGGAGGAAAGGAAAUCAACAGAUACUCCGCUAGUAGUGGCGAGCGAACGCGGAUCAGCCGAGCCUUGAGAGUGACUAGAACCGUCUGGAAAGUCGGGCAAGAUGGGUGACAGCCCCGUAUAGGAAGCUCAACAGGACGCAUUAAGUAGGGCGGGACACGUGAAAUCCUGUCUGAAGAUCGGGGGACCACCCUCGAAGGCUAAGUACUCCUUACUGACCGAUAGCGAACCAGUACCGUGAGGGAAAGGUGAAAAGCACCCCGACGAGGGGAGUGAAACAGUUCCUGAAACCGGACGCCUACAAGCAGUCGGAGGGGCCUUUAUUGAGCCCUGACGGCGUACCUUUUGUAUAAUGGGUCAACGACUUGGUCUUACGAGCAAGCUUAAGCCGGUAGGUGUAGGCGCAGCGAAAGCGAGUCUUAAAUGGGCGAAUGAGUUCGUGGGAUCAGACCCGAAACCAAGUGAUCUAGGCAUGUCCAGGAUGAAGUCAGGGUAACACCUGAUGGAGGUCCGAACCCACACCUGUUGAAAAAGGUCGGGAUGAGGUGUGCCUAGGGGUGAAAGGCCAAUCAAACUUGGAGAUAGCUGGUUCUCCGCGAAAGCUAUUUAGGUAGCGCCUCGGACGAAUACCUUGGGGGGUAGAGCACUGGAUGGGUGAUGGGGUCCCACAGACUUACUGAGCCUAACCAAACUCCGAAUACCCAAGAGUACUAUCCGGGAGACACACGGCGGGUGCUAACGUCCGUCGUGGAGAGGGAAACAACCCUGACCAACAGCUAAGGCCCCCAAUUCGUGGCUAAGUGGGAAAGCAUGUGGGACGACCAAAACAACCAGGAGGUUGGCUUAGAAGCAGCCAUCCUUUAAAGAUAGCGUAACAGCUCACUGGUCUAGACAAGUUGUCCUGCGGCGAAGAUGUAACGGGGCUCAAGCCACGAGCCGAAGCUUUGGGUGCACGCAAGUGCGCGGUAGCGGAGCGUUCCGUGAUAUGGUUCCACGCCUCUUGUGCCUCUACGGAAGCAUCGGAGGCUCGGAGCUGACUGUGAAGCCGGGCUGCAAGGCAUCCGGUGGAGUGAUCGGAAGCGAGAAUGUUGACAUGAGUAGCGACAAACAGGGUGAGAGACCCUGUCGCCGAAAGUCCAAGGGUUCCUGCUUAAAGCUAAUCUGAGCAGGGUAAGCCGGCCCCUAAGGCGAGGCAGAAAUGCGUAGUCGAUGGGAACCAGGUUAAUAUUCCUGGGCCAGGAGAUGGUGACGGAUCCCGAGGGUCGUUCGAUCUUAACGGAUUGAUCGGGCUGCUUAGGGGUUCCUGGAAAUAGCCCUCCACAAGACCGUACCCUAAACCGACACAGGUGGACUGGUAGAGAAUACCAAGGCGCUUGAGAGAACCACAUUUAAGGAACUCGGCAAAAUACCUCCGUAAGUUCGCGAGAAGGAGGCCCGGUCAGCAGGCAACUGUCGGCCGGGGGCACAAACCAGGGGGUGGCGACUGUUUACUAAAAACACAGGGCUCUGCGAAGUCGCAAGACGACGUAUAGGGUCUGACGCCUGCCCGGUGCUGGAAGGUUAAAAGGAGGGGUGCAAGCUCCGAAUUGAAGCCCCAGUAAACGGCGGCCGUAACUAUAACGGUCCUAAGGUAGCGAAAUUCCUUGUCGGGUAAGUUCCGACCUGCACGAAUGGCGUAACGAUCUGGGCGCUGUCUCGGCUGGAGGCUCAACGAAAUUGCAGUAGCGGUGAAAAUGCCGUUUACCCGCAGCAGGACGGAAAGACCCCGUGGACCUUUACUAUACCUUGGCAAUGAUACUCGGUGCAUGAUGUGUAGGAUAGGUGGGAGACUGUGAAGCGUGUACGCCAGUAUGCGUGGAGUCGCCCUUGAAAUACCACCCUUUAUGUACUGAUUAUCUAACCUGGCUGCUGUGUAGGCAGAGGGACAUUGCCAGGCGGGUAGUUUGACUGGGGCGGUCGCCUCCGAAAGAGUAACAGAGGCGCGCGAAGGUAUCCUCAGGUUGGUUGGACACCAACUGUCGAGUGCAAAGGCAUAAGGAUGCUUAACUGCGAGACUGACGAGUCGAGCAGGUGGGAAACCAGGUCUUAGUGAUCCGGUGGUUCCGAAUGGAAGGGCCAUCGCUCAACGGAUAAAAGGUACCCCGGGGAUAACAGGCUGAUCUCCCCCAAGAGUUCACAUCGACGGGGAGGUUUGGCACCUCGAUGUCGGCUCAUCACAUCCUGGGGCUGGAGCAGGUCCCAAGGGUUCGGCUGUUCGCCGAUUAAAGUGGUACGCGAGCUGGGUUCAGAACGUCGUGAGACAGUUCGGUCCUUAUCCGCUGUGGGCGCAGGAGGCUUGAGGGGGUCUGUCCCUAGUACGAGAGGACCGGGAUGGACAAACCUCUGGUGCGCCAAUUGUUCCGCCAGGAGCAUAGUUGGGUAGCCAUGUUUGGAAUGGAUAACCGCUGAAAGCAUCUAAGCGGGAAACCAGCCCCAAGAUAAGGCCUCCCGGAGCAUAAGCUCCCUAAAGGUUCGUUGGAGACUACGACGUUGAUAGGCUGGGUGUGUAAGCGUGGUGACACGUUGAGCUAACCAGUACUAAUUGACCGUGCGGCUUGACCUUUUUACCCUA
rnacentral:rRNA from 1 species